GGUGAACGCUGGCGGUAGGCCUAACACAUGCAAGUCGAACGGCAGCACAGUAAGAGCUUGCUCUUACGGGUGGCGAGUGGCGGACGGGUGAGGAAUACAUCGGAAUCUACUUUUUCGUGGGGGAUAACGUAGGGAAACUUACGCUAAUACCGCAUACGACCUACGGGUGAAAGCAGGGGAUCUUCGGACCUUGCGCGAUUGAAUGAGCCGAUGUCGGAUUAGCUAGUUGGCGGGGUAAAGGCCCACCAAGGCGACGAUCCGUAGCUGGUCUGGGAGGAUGAUCAGCCACACUGGAACUGAGACACGGUCCAGACUCCUACGGGAGGCAGCAGUGGGGAAUAUUGGACAAUGGGCGCAAGCCUGAUCCAGCCAUACCGCGUGGGUGAAGAAGGCCUUCGGGUUGUAAAGCCCUUUUGUUGGGAAAGAAAAGCAGCAGGUUAAUACCCCGCUGUUCUGACGGUACCCAAAGAAUAAGCACCGGCUAACUUCGUG
rnacentral:rRNA from 1 species